UACGUAGGGGGCAAGCGUUGUCCGGAGUUACUGGGCGUAAAGGGCGCGUAGGCGGACUGCACAGUCAGGCGUGAAAUUCCUGGGCUUAACCUGGGGACUGCGUCUGAGACGUGUGAUCUAGAGUGAGGAAGAGGGUCGUGGAAUUUCCAGUGUAGAGGUGAAAUUCGUAGAUAUUGGAAAGAACACCGGUGGCGAAGGCGGCGACCUGGUCCUUGACUGACGCUGAGGCGCGAAAGCGCGGGGAGCAAACAGG
rnacentral:rRNA from 1 species